rnacentral:rRNA from 1 species
CACGCCGUAAACGAUGGAUACUAGGUGUAGGAGGUAUCGACCCCUUCUGUGCCGGAGUUAACACAAUAAGUAUCCCACCUGGGGANAGCAACGCGAAGAACCUUACCAGGGCUUGACAUCCCUUGACGAUGGUAGAGAUAUCAUUUCCCUUCGGGGCAAGGAGACAGGUGG